rnacentral:rRNA from 1 species
CAGGCAAAUCCGGAAAAUCAAGGCUGAGGCGUGAUGACGAGGCACUGCGGUGCUGAAGCAACAAAUGCCCUGCUUCCAGGAAAAGCCUCUAAGCAUCAGGUAACAUCAAAUCGUACCCCAAACCGACACAGGUGGUCAGGUAGAGAAUACCAAGGCGCUUGAGAGAACUCGGGUGAAGGAACUAGGCAAAAUGGUGCCGUAACUUCGGGAGAAGGCACGCUGAUAUGUAGGUGAAGUCCCUCGCGGAUGGAGCUGAAAUCAGUCGAAGAUACCAGCUGGCUGCAACUGUUUAUUAAAAACACAGCACUGUGCAAACACGAAAGUGGACGUAUACGGUGUGACGCCUGCCCGGUGCCGGAAGGUUAAUUGAUGGGGUUAGCGCAAGCGAAGCUCUUGAUCGAAGCCCCGGUAAACGGCGGCCGUAACUAUAACGGUCCUAAGGUAGCGAAAUUCCUUGUCGGGUAAGUUCCGACCUGCACGAAUGGCGUAAUGAUGGCCAGGCUGUCUCCACCCGAGACUCAGUGAAAUUGAACUCGCUGUGAAGAUGCAGUGUACCCGCGGCAAGACGGAAAGACCCCGUGAACCUUUACUAUAGCUUGACACUGAACAUUGAGCCUUGAUGUGUAGGAUAGGUGGGAGGCUUUGAAGUGUGGACGCCAGUCUGCAUGGAGCCGACCUUGAAAUACCACCCUUUAAUGUUUGAUGUUCUAACGUUGACCCGUAAUCCGGGUUGCGGACAGUGUCUGGUGGGUAGUUUGACUGGGGCGGUCUCCUCCUAAAGAGUAACGGAGGAGCACGAAGGUUGGCUAAUCCUGGUCGGACAUCAGGAGGUUAGUGCAAUGGCAUAAGCCAGCUUGACUGCGAGCGUGACGGCGCGAGCAGGUGCGAAAGCAGGUCAUAGUGAUCCGGUGGUUCUGAAUGGAAGGGCCAUCGCUCAACGGAUAAAAGGUACUCCGGGGAUAACAGGCUGAUACCGCCCAAGAGUUCAUAUCGACGGCGGUGUUUGGCACCUCGAUGUCGGCUCAUCACAUCCUGGGGCUGAAGUAGGUCCCAAGGGUAUGGCUGUUCGCCAUUUAAAGUGGUACGCGAGCUGGGUUUAGAACGUCGUGAGACAGUUCGGUCCCUAUCUGCCGUGGGCGCUGGAGAACUGAGGGGGGCUGCUCCUAGUACGAGAGGACCGGAGUGGACGCAUCACUGGUGUUCGGGUUGUCAUGCCAAUGGCACUGCCCGGUAGCUAAAUGCGGAAGAGAUAAGUGCUGAAAGCAUCUAAGCACGAAACUUGCCCCGAGAUGAGUUCUCCCUGACUCCUUGAGAGUCCUGAAGGAACGUUGAAGACGACGACGUUGAUAGGCCGGGUGUGUAAGCGCAGCGAUGCGUUGAGCUAACCGGUACUAAUGAACCGUGAGG